ensembl:lncRNA
CAGGAUUUUAGCUCAGUGGCAGCUUGCUUGCCUAGCAAGUGCAAGGUCCUGAGUUUGAUCCCUGGUACAAGAAAGAAAGGAAGAAAGGAAGGAAGGAAGGAAAGAAGGAAAGAAGGAAGGAAGGAAGGAAGGAAGGAAGGAAGGAAGGAAAAAAGCAAGCAAGCAAGCUGCAGCUGUUGGACAUGAGUCAGGAGACUGGCCUCCAUCUUCUAACUCUGAACUUGGGAAAUUUGACUCCAAGGCCACCACAGCAGAAGAAAGGAAAUAGGACCAGAAGUGGCACAUCUCUCUGCUAACACUUGACUGCAGGGAGGGCCGGGAAAGAGAGGAAGCACACAGACAUGGUUGGACACUAAUUGUCACCACCACAGGCACAACCCUGCAGACAAUGGGAAGGCAAGAACCUUUUUUUGUCAUUGGUGAUGGCAAUAUUGUUUGUACCGGAUAUCACCUGUGAUGGGAGUUCAAAUUGCACAGCUGGGCUAAGAAAAGUCUGUGCUAGAGCUCAGCCUGCUACCACACCCACAGGGCCAGACGACCUCAGCAAAAGGGUCACUGAGAGGAGGGUAUUCCAGAAGUGGAAAGGCUCCAGGAUUGUGUAAUGGCCUCUACACGGGAAACAAAACCAGUGCUGCUGAUAAAAUGGCCUGACAGAGGCUCAGUCACUAUCCAGCCCUCCAGCCCACUACAAGUGUUUUUCCAAAUCGAGCUGCAGCAACGUGAGGCCAGAUCUAACACCAAUCUGACUGAAAGAAUUCACACAGGGCCUGAGCAAACCAUUUCCCCACAUUACAGUUGAGAAUCUGAGCCAACCAAUGCUACAGGACAUGUCCUUUGAAUAGCACUAUUCUCCCAGGUCCAUGGUGCUCAGUGAUGGACAAAGAUGUGACUUGGUCCUUCUCCUUCUUCAUGACAAGUACCCAGCCUAGUACUCAAUCUGUGCCCCAGUGCUGACGUGUAUGUUCAAGAGAUCCCUGUGGCCAUUCUUUCAGAGAACACAGCUAGGGGAAGACAAGCCUUAUAGGGACCCUGUCAGCUUGGGGUUCAGAGCUGUGAAAUGAGAUCUUUGUCCCUGAGACUCUACUGAGAAGCAAGAGAAAGAAGUUAGUCCUAGAUAUCACCAUCUCUUUGGGCAGAGCUACCCUGACAACUAGAAGAAGGUAUGUUACAGAGAGUAAACUCAGUUCCAGGGCUCUGAAGAAGGUCUGUGAUUAGAAUUUGUUUCUCAAGACAAAGAGCUUUUGUGCUGUCCCAGAGAAUCUUUAGGCAGCUGAGAAGCCAAAAGUAUAAAUAAUUUAAAGAGCAAAAUAAAAGAUAAAUAAUAGGAAACAGGAACAUAGAUCUUUUGCAAAUGAGAAGGGGGUCUAGAGAUGGAAGGUGGAGAAAGGAAGUAAAAAGAAUUAAGAAGCGUUAUGUACUUGUACCAGCUUCCCACUAUAAUGUAAUCAUUGUGUAUGGCAAACAUGUACUACUAAAAAACAGAAUUUUUU